CGAGGUGUAGUGAAAUAUGGUUAGUGCAUCUGUUUUGGGUACAGAGGGCCAUAGGCUCAAAUCCUGUCACCUUGA